rnacentral:rRNA from 1 species
CGAAACCGAGCGAUCUAUCCUUGGCCAGGUUGAAGCGCGGGUAAAACCGCGUGGAGGACCGAACCCACUGGAGUUGAAAAUCCAGGGGAUGAGCUGAGGGUCGGAGUGAAAGGCUAAUCAAGCUCGGAGAUAGCUGGUUCUUCGCGAAAUAUAUUUAGGUAUAGCCUCAGGCGAAUUCCAUCGGAGGUAGAGCACUGAAUGGGCUAGGGGUCCCACCAGAUUACCAAACCCAAUCAAACUCCGAAUGCCGAUGAGAAAUACCUGGGAGUCAGGCUGCGGGUGAUAAGGUCCGUAGCCAAGAGGGAAAGAGCCCAGAUCGACAGCUAAGGUCCCCAAGUUCAUGCUAAGUGUGAAAGGAUGUGGAAACGCAUUGACAGCCAGGAGGUUGGCUUAGAAGCAGCCACCCUUUAAAGAAAGCGUAAUAGCUCACUGGUCGAGCGAGUCUGCGCCGAAAAUAUAACGGGGCUAAGCAUGACACCGAAGCUUCGGGCUUUCGUAAGAGAGCGGUAGCGAAGUAUUCCCAAGCAGAUACAAGGUGUACCGAAAGGAGCGCUGUCGGGCUUGGGAAGAGCUUAUGCAGGCAUGAGUAGCGAUAAACAGGAUGAGAAAUCCUGUCGCCGUAAGCCCAAGGUUUCCUGGGGAAGGAUCAUCCUCCCAUGGGUUAGUCGGUUCCUAAGCUGAGGCCGAGAGGCGUAGGCGAUGGAAAGCAGGUUAAUAUUCCUGCACCACAAGGAUGGUAUUGAAGCAAGCAGGGACGAAGAAGGGUAGGCCGAGCCAGGUGUUUGGUUUCUGGUUCAAGCCUGUAGGCGGAUCUCGUAGGACCCAGUAGGGACAAACGCGAGGUCAACGCCGAGAGGUGAUGAGGCUGGACUUAGGUCCAGAAACUCGGUGAUCCCAUGCUUCCGAGAAAAGCUGCGUGUGGAGCCUCUUUGUGACCGUACCGCAAACCAACUCAGGUGGGCGGGGUGAGUAUCCCAAGGCGCGUGAGAGAACACUGGCUAAGGAACUCGGCAAAAUUGCACCGUAACUUCGGGAGAAGGUGCACCCGCUAGGGUGAUAGGGCUUGCCCCUGGAGCUCCGGCGGGUCGCAGUGAAAAGGGGGUUGCGACUGUUUACUAAAAACAUAGGACUCUGCGAAAUCGUAAGAUGAAGUAUAGGGUCUGACGCCUGCCCGGUGCUGGAAGGUUAAGGGGAGAUGUGAGAGCAUCGAACCGAAGCCCCAGUAAACGGCGGCCGUAACAAUAACGGUCCUAAGGUAGCGAAAUUCCUUGUCGGGUAAGUUCCGACCUGCACGAAUGGCGUAACGANAUCCCCACUGUCUCGGCCAGUGACUCAGCGAAAUUGUAAUCGCGGUGAAGAUACCGUGUACCCGUGGCAAGACGGAAAGACCCCAUGAACCUUUACUGCAACUUGGCAGUGAAGCUCGGAUCAGUCUGCGUAGGAUAGGUGGGAGACUUUGAAGCAGGGCUUGUGGGCCUUGUGGAGUCAACCUUGAAAUACCACCCUGGCUGGUCUGUGCUUCUAACCCAGAUCCGUUAUCCGGAUCGGGGACACUGUCUGGUGGGCAGUUUGACUGGGGCGGUCGCCUCCCAAAUAGUAACGGAGGCGCGCUAAGGUGCCCUCAGGCUGAUUGGAAACCAGCCGUAGAGUGCAAAGGCAGAAGGGCGCUUGACUGCGAGACCGACAGGUCGAGCAGGUGCGAAAGCAGGCCUUAGUGAUCCGGUGGUCCCGUAUGGAAGGGCCAUCGCUCAUCGGAUAAAAGGUACUCUGGGGAUAACAGGCUGAUCGCGCCUGAGAGUUCAUAUCGGCGGCGCGGUUUGGCACCUCGAUGUCGGCUCAUCGCAUCCUGGGGCUGGAGCAGGUCCCAAGGGU